GACGAACGCUGGCGGCGUGCCUAAUACAUGCAAGUCGAACGAGAGCGACCGGUGCUUGCACUGGUCAAUCUAGUGGCGAACGGGUGAGUAACACGUGGGUAACCUGCCCAUCAGAGGGGGAUAACAUCCGGAAACGGAUGCUAAAACCGCAUAGGUCUUCGAGCCGCAUGGCUUGAAGAGGAAAAGAGGCGCAAGCUUCUGCUGAUGGAUGGACCCGCGGUGCAUUAGCUAGUUGGUGAGGUAACGGCUCACCAAGGCCGUGAUGCAUAGCCGACCUGAGAGGGUGAUCGGCCACAUUGGGACUGAGUCACGGCCCAAACUCCUACGGGAGGCAGCAGUAGGGAAUCUUCCGCAAUGGACGCAAGUCUGACGGAGCAACGCCGCGUGAGUGAAGAAGGUUUUCGGAUCGUAAAACUCUGUUGUUAGAGAAGAACAAGUGCUAGAGUAACUGUUAGCGCCUUGACGGUAUCUAACCAGAAAGCCACGGCUAACUACGUG
rnacentral:rRNA from 1 species